rnacentral:misc_RNA from 1 species
UUUCCGUAGGUGAACCUGCGGAAGGAUCAUUACUGAGCGAGGGUCCCGUGCGGGCCCAACCUCCCACCCCUUGUGUUUCCCACCUUUUGUUGCUUUGGCAGGUCGCCCGCGUGGCCGCCGGAACGAGUUCUCGUUCGGGCGUAAGCGGGCGGUCCUCUCCCGGCCCGCCCCGCCUGCCAGAGGUCGUCUAACCUUCGAAUCAAUCGUGGUCGUCUGAGUAUAUUUUGAAUCAUACAAAACUUUCAACAACGGAUCUCUUGGUUCUGGCAUCGAUGAAGAACGCAGC